AUGGAGGCGUCCCGGUUUGGCUUCCAGAUGGCGCCGGCGUUCAAGUUCGAUCCGACGGACGCGGACCUCGUCGCCCACUACCUCCUCCCGCGCGCGCUCGGCGUCCCCGACCCGCCCUUCGCCCACGCCGUCAUCGACGACGACCCGGCCGGCCUCCCGCCGGCCGACCUGUUCGCGAAGCACGGCCACGGCGGCAGCCAGCACGCCUUCUUCCUGCACACCGCCGACACCGACGCGCCGGAGAGCAGCAAGCGCGCCGUCAAGGGCGGCGCCGGCGGCCGGUGGCGCGGCCAGAAGGCCUCCGUCGAGUCCGUCACCCUGGUGCACCCUGACGGCGGCGAGCUGGACAUGAAGUACAGGCGCUCUGAGCUCACCUAUGAACGCGACGCGGGCAACGGGGAGGGCGCUGGCGCGGCCGCGGAUGCCACCGGCUGGGUCAUGCACGAGUACCAGAUCGUGUCGCCCCCGCUCCAGGCGACGGUGCUCAGCCGCAUCAGCAAGGUCAGGGAGGACCAGCAGCCGGCCGCCGCCGCUCAAAACUGA
rnacentral:rRNA from 1 species